CUGUUGGAAAGAACGUAGGCUGCCGUGGCGGUGCCCACCUAUUCCACCUACGCCCGCCUAUAACUCCGUUCUCUGGACCCAGCUUGAAGGGAUUUGUGUGUCGCCUUAUACUUACCUAGGAGGUCAAUGGGAGUGGAGGAGCUGUCCAGACGCUGGAGAAGAGAAGGGCGCCACGGGAAAUCAAGCCGCUAAGGAAGGACUUAGGAUUAGUCAGGAGACUGGUAGAAGUUCUGGGAAAGGACGAAAGAGCCCUUUGCCCCCCCCUCCCCUUGUGAUUACUUACCAAAGACCUCCAGAGUUCUCAGG